UACGUAGGGUGCAAGCGUUGUCCGGAAUUAUUGGGCGUAAAGAGCUCGUAGGCGGUUUGUCGCGUCUGCUGUGAAAACUCGGGGCUUAACUCCGGGCCUGCAGUGGGUACGGGCAGACUAGAGUGCGGUAGGGAGACUGGAAUCCUGGUGUAGCGGUGAAAUGCGCAGAUAUCAGGAGGAACACCGGUGGCGAAGGCGGGUCUCUGGGCCGAUACUGACGCUGAGGAGCGAAAGCGUGGGGAGCGAACAGG
rnacentral:rRNA from 1 species